ensembl:lncRNA
UGAACAGCAGUAGUGUGAUGCAGCGACUGCAAGGGAGGACUGUGAGCACAGCGACACGUGACGUUUUGAUAUCAGAAGCAUCUAAAAUUGACAAAGCUUUGGUAACAGAAAAGUUGCAAGCAUAAUUCCUCAUUAAUAACUCCAUUUGUGUUAUUGUUCUGCCUAAAACUUGUUCCUGCUUUCCAAAGAAGGCAAAACAGGAAAAAUAUUAAAUUGAUGUGAAAAAUUUAAGUCUAAUACGUAUUUCAAACUGUCUGAUCUGUGCAUGGGAGGAAGAAAAGAUUAAAGCUGCAAUACAACAGCCUGCCUUUAGAAAGUGAGCUGGGAGGAGGAAGUCAGUACCAAGGAAUGUUCUCACCAAAGACACUGGACCAUUUCCAGGCUACGGCUCACGAGUUCUAUGUCCUCCAGUCAGUGUGGAUGACUUGUUUUGUUUUCAUGUGAAGAUUCUGGCCAUCUCAGAUGUGUAGGAUGGAUGUUCUGUUAGGUGACCAACUCCCUGCCAUGAGGGAAGAGACACCCCCCCUGCAAAUGGAGAUGGACCACCAAAAUGGAAAAAUCAAAGCAAAGCCAGCAUCUUUGCAUUGUAUUCAGGUGUUCAGCAAUGUGAACGAUCGUGGAGAGUUUAACAUUUGAGGAGUGGAAGAUGGUCUCAUUUCAGAAGCUCGGCGCUGUGCAGCAGGAGUACGUUGCCAGGGUAACAGAGUGUAAGCAGGAGAACAGCACCUUGCAGAUCACAAAGGCAAAUCUGCAGAAAGAAAUUUCAGCGAGUUUCUCUCUGCCUUUUUUGCAAUGUAAUGACGACUUAUUUUUCAUGCACUGAUUUAAUAAUCUUAUUGAAAGAUCCUUUCCCCGUUUCUCUUAUUCUUGUCUGUCUGAGCGUGGACAAUAGCAAAACCUGGAAUUGUCGAGUCCACCGGGCUAAGCAAACUAACAGAUGUAAUAUGUUUAGCAUUUUUAUGUAAUUACUUUUUAUUGCUAUUUUACCCCUGUUUCCAUUCCUCCCUGGUUAGUCGCUGCUGCUUUUCCGUUACGGCCCAAUCAGGUGGUAGUGAGGGGCUGGGGGAGAGUUAGUAAUUGACUGCAUUAAUCGGAAAUUAUUAGUUGGACGUAUUUUCCAGGGUGGGGGUUGGCUGCAGAAAUAGACCUUUUAGCGAGGGAUGAAUUGAAUUAUGGUCAAUGCAAUAAUGAAGCCUCCAGGCUGCGAGCUGUGGAGAGGACAGUCAUCUUCACAAAGGUUGUGGUGUUAUUUAUAAUGGGCUCUGCUCUUGGGGUGGAAAGCAGCGUGCAGCCCUACUGAUGUGCCUCUGGUCUGGGUGUCUCGGUCCGUCGGUCUGGACAUAAACUGAGUUGAUACGCUCGAAACCAAAAACUUGAGAAGAUCUUCAGUGUUGGCACUGAAGCCUGUACCCAACCUCAGGGAAGGCACAGCUUGAGACGGUCUGCAGCUUGUAAACAUUUUGCCUCUCAUCCUCUUUCCCAAGGGCUGGAGCUCAGGAAGGAAGUGUGGGAAAAGCAGUAGUUGUGGUCUGCAGAGAGGAGGUGGGAGGGAAGAGUCUGAAAUUAAAGGCAAAGUCCAGUUUGUCUCCAUGCAGCUGACAAAUUUCAAGAACCAAAGAACAAAGGGCGUCACUUCAGCUUGGGCAGCUUCUGUGCUGCAGCCUGGCCAGCAGGGCGUCUGAGCGUGGCUCUGGUGCGUGGAAAUGGUGGGGCUGAGGAAAGCAACGCAGGGGCUGUUCUGCAGCCCUACCUGAGGGUAUCCUGCUUGCUGUGCUCUGACUGAUGCUGCUGAAAGGAAGCCGUUUGUUAUGAGGCCCAUUCUU